ACCCUUCAUUUGGCAAUGAAUCCGUUCAGUAAGCAAGGAAAAGCUUUAGCAAUUCAAAUCCGUUUGACGACCCUCUAAGAAUGUUAUAAUGCGAUACGCCGUUUACAUUAUGUAAUAAAUUUACAGUAAAUGUGGCACUAGAAGAGUAUCGUUGGAUUUUAAAUGCAGGAGUACCCUGCAUACUGUGCCGUCGACGUCUGUUGCCACUCGUAACAACUACAGACGACUCAUCAAAGAAAUGCAUACGGUUGCAAUCAAUCAAUGGAAUAUUUGCUACGUAAGCUUCUAACUUCUCCAUAACGUCCGGCCGUUCUGUCUCUCGUGGAAUUUGACUUAUUAUCUUGUAAGAGUAACCAAGAUCUUUAUUCAAAAUUCUACUAAUGGAUGACCUGCAAGAUAUUCAGUGAAUGCAAUAACGUCACCUGUACGCGUGGUUCGAACAUCACAUUCGCUCUGAGGAAGAACAUUUUGAAACAUCAUCCUUCUGCAUCCUGAGAUCUACAUGUUUUUCAUGCAUGUGAUAAUCUCCACCUCAAGCAAUUUAAGCAUGAAUCAAUGACAGACGUCAUACAAAGUUUCUGAAGUUUCUACAAUAUUAAUGGACAAUGAUGAAGAUGAAUGUUAUAGAAAGUUCUCACCGCUGAAGAAAUGUAAAUCCAUUGCAUUGCCUUUCUGAUGUUGUCAUUUAAACAAGGCCUGUCCUCAAGAUUCCAAUGUGUGAAUUCAGAAAAUCUUUUUAUAGCUCGAAAAGAUCUAUCCUAAAAAUUAAGUUUUGUAAUAGUUUCAGUGUUAGCUAAAAAGCAAUAAAAUUAUAAGAUACACCAAACACACAUUGUGUGAAACUUAUAAAUAAAUUAUAAUUAUAAUAAUGAAAUGUUUUGACAAAAUAUAUUGUUCACUAAAA